ensembl:lncRNA
CUAUUAAUUAAAAACUUCUUAGUUUGAAUAACAAACAUUCUGUCUCCCAACCCCCCCUCACCCAAUUCCAUCAUUACAAACUAAAAGCCUCAAUGAUUAUCUGUACCUUAACCAUGAAGCGGUUUCGUUGAAAUACGCAUUGCUCUUUCAAAUACUACUAUAACCACUACGAAUAUUACUAGUACUUCUAGUAGAACUACAACUGAUACUUCUACUACCAUACUACUAGUAUUUCUACUGCUAUUAAUACAACUACUACUAAUGUUAUUAAAAAUACUACUAUGGCUAAUAGUAUCAGUAUUCCAGCUGUUUCUACUGCUAUUGAUACUAAACCGACUUCUACUGCUAGUACUGAUACCCAAAUUACAACUAACAUUACUACAAACAAUUUUAAACCUCUUUUUAUUCAUCUCAGCUUUUGUUAUUUCUGUACUUUUUAAAAUUCAUUUAAGCUCCUGCAACUUCUGUUUUGCAAUAUUUCACAUUUAUUUCAGCUGUUUUCAUUUCUGCUUUUUCAGCAAAUCUAUUGAAAUUCCUUUCAGCUUCUCCCAUUUCUGUAUUUUCAACUAUUUCAAAUUAAUUUCAGCUUUUCUAAUAUCUUUUAUUUCAGCAAAUGUAUUCAAAUUCCCUUCAACUUUCUGUAUUUUCAGCUAUUUUUAAAUAUUCAGCAAAUCUUUCAGCUUUUUGCAUUCCAACGCAUUUUCAGCAGGAAAUGCCUUUUCUAGUUAUUAUUAUUGUUGGAAUGCAUUGAAAUGCAUUCCAAGUAUUGUUCUUCGAAUCUUUAUUGUUGGAAUGCAUUGAGAUGCAUUCCAAGUAUUGUUCUUCGAAUCUUUAUUUCCGACUUAUUAUUCUAUUUCUUCCGCGCCCCCUUUCAACUCCUUCACAUUUUCAGCUAUUAAAAUCCUUCAAAUAUUAAAAUGUUCAGCUCCUUUCUGGCUUGAGGGCUAUGACUUUUCAGCUUUCUACCUCUUAUGCUUGAAUUUAUAUAAAUCAAUAAUCAUUAAUAUUUUAACAUGGUUUUCAAAUGGAGUUUGCUUUCAAAUCCUCCUAAACUUCUUCAACUUUCAGAUUUUUCAGCUUUGCAAAUCUUUCAGCUACAGACACCAUUUCAACUCUCAAAUGUUCACACAAGUCUCAACUAUUUUAUGAAAAAAACUGCUUCUUGAUAUCUAUUGUACUUUUUUCAUAAUCACUGAUUAAGUUUCACUAGUUUUUCGCUCCGUUUCUGACUUUUACAUGAGUGUGUAUUGCGUCUGCUAGAGGCGGGGCCUCGCAGGCUAGAGUGUGGGGCAUCGCAGAAAUCUGGUUUAAAAAGUAUGGAACUUCUGUCCUUGCAGCCAAAGUAUACACUCUAGAGGCUUCAUUUCUUCAGAUUAAUGAGGGUAUGGUUGUGCUGAUUGGAUUAAUGUGUUCAUGGAAUCCCAGAGUUUUUUAGUUUUGGCGCAAGGAGUGUUUGAGUGACACAACCUCUGCCAAAAGCCCCAUAGGCUCCAAUACAAAUCUGCCGACAUAUUUCUCACAAAAAUCCACAAGGUACACGUUUUGUAAACGGCCAUAGGAGCCGUAUUUAUUACCGGACAGACAUAAAAAGCACAUCCACGCGUUCGGUAGAGUCUUGGGUCUCAUACAAACGCCGUAUUUUUUAGAUAGCUGUUAUAGUUUUGCGCUGGUUCCCAUUUGUUUGAGGUGUGGAUUCUGUGUAACUAGCUCCCAUGUCUCCCCUUUUGCAGCCGCACAGGUGCGGCGUUGUCGUGGUUACGAGCACUCACACGCUGCAGGAUCUGUCUGUGGCUCACAGCUGCUCCUUGUGACCUGAUUAGUGGAGUCACAUGACGCAGCUAUGCUUUCUGUCAACAGACCAAUAUGAUAAAGACACUCGCCCCCCCUCCCCCCUCCACCCUGACCUCUGCUCACUGUUAAUCACUCAGUCAGU